GGCUGGAUGGCCGAGUGGUCUAAGGCGGUAGACUCAAGAAAUCCUGUUUCUUCCCAAAGAAGGGUUGCAUUCUACUCUCGCAAGAGGCGCGCGUUCGAAUCGCGCUCCAGUCA